CAGUAUGAAAUGCUGCACAUAGAGAUAUAUGUUAUAUUGCUGACGCAGUUGUAAUUCGACCAGCAGCGUCAUUAUCCCGCUAUCCCCACCUGUCAUUGAGCUCUACUACAGCUCAUUGCGAAGCACAGGAACGUGACACACUCAAUGAGAGUCCUUUGAUUGGUCAUUUUUCAGGCACAGACCUAAAGUUUGUACCCGGGAAAGAGGGGAGGCUUUACAGUCGAAUGUUCCUUUAAGCAUGUGAGGUAGGGCUAGUGCGCUGUAUAGGUGGGAGAAUAUGACCUGCUCAGGGUAUGUGGUUGGGAGGGUGGCCGAAUGACGAUAUUACUUUGUGGAAGCAGAUACGCG